UGUCUGUGAUGAAAAUUCUUCUCCAGUUCUGCUACUGACAGCUGUGCUGAUUCACUUUUUCUGAUGAUG